GUCACUUUCGAUCCCUUAUUUGCAUAACUAUCUACAGUAUCCCCCUGCUGGCCCAGGGUGAGAACUUCAGUACAUGACAACAGUAACUUUAACCCUUUGGGGACAUCGCAUAGCAUGGAGCGAGGGUGAAAGCUGAUACCCUGGCCUUUGCCCACCUUGGGGGCUCCUACUGGCUCUGCCCCUGCCCUGGGCAUAUUUUAGGACUCCCUUUUGUUCUGUGUUUGUAAGUUGCUUUAAACUGGGAUCUUAGGAUGAAGGGUGAGAUGAAGAUCAUGAUAAUAAUGAUAGGAUAGGAUAGGAUAGGGAGAGGACCCUGGACAGCAUUACUGAUGAUGAUUAUGAUGAUUAUAUUAAUUAAAUUGAUACACCAUCCUUCAUCUGAAGAUCACAGCAUGCGGACUCAACAGUGCAUGUGACCAUACUACUUUUUCAUAUGCUGCUACCCACAAAGAAAGGAAAAUGCCUAAGACUUCGAGCUGUAAUCAAUGUGAUAAAACCGUGCAAUGAAUCAUUUCCAUCCAGCUGUUCAAAUAAAAGCACCAAAUUCAUCCUGGUGUCUGCACAUCUUUUAGUGCUCACUCCACGAACAAAUAAAUAAUUUUGCUUGUUAACCUUCGCAACAAAGGAGAGGGGGGGGGGAGCCAUACCUGGGGAAGCUCUGCCAAAGUCAGGGAAAGGAAUCUCCGUCCUCAGAAGAAAAUUGCGCAGAAACAGACAGUGCUUCCAGCUCUUCAUUUGCCAUCUGCAGUGCCUGCCGGAAGAGUCAAACGAGGUUGCGUCUUGUGGGUGUCCUUGAAGAAAGUACGGGGAAGGCUGCUCUCACAGGAAAUUCAUCACCCAAUUCAACAACUUAUUAUUGGAGACAGCUGUGAUUGAACCCCUACAAGGAGGGAUGUCAGAACAGAACUGAACUGAAGGGUUCAGCCAGCCUGCCU